GUUUCCGGUCGAUCCCACUCAGGUGAGCCACCUUGAACCACGUUUCCCGCGAGGACGCUCCACGGCAGGUGUCUAUGGCCGGUUCUUAUUGAGAAAUUAAAUUAAAACAGAGCUAAAAGAUGAUCCACGGAGAAGAGGAGAAGAAGAAAAGACAUCGGACCAACAUCCGAACGAGGUGAGUCACAUUAUCACAGAACGUUUGCUCCAUGCUUUGCUAACGCUAAUGCUAACACUUGUUCUCAUACUUGUGAUGCUAACCCUGACUCCUGAGGCUCAUCCUGCUGACACACGUGUUCAUACUUUGUGUUUGAGUUACAUUAAACCGAAUCGGAGUGGACACAAGAAUAUAAGAACUGAUCUAAGAGCCUGAUUGAUCGACCUGAGGAGGGCAGCAAUACUCUAGCCUGCCUUACUCAUAGAAGAAGAAGAUCCAUGGAGAAGAGGACAAGAAGAAAAGACGUGGGACCAAUAUCCGAGUGGAGUGGACACUCGAGGAGUGUUGAGAAGAACGAGAGCAGAGAGUUAAUCAGUGGCUGCAGGAAGUCUGGGUCUGUGAGGCCACGUGGUUGGGGAGCUGCAGGCUGCAUCGACUUCAGGGAGGAUUUGUUUGUCAGACUCUUCCUGUCAAAAUAAUCUGUCUUCAAACAGAUCCAGCUGGUUAGUCUGUUGGAAAUGAUCAAACAAAGGCAACAUCCCAAGCUGCUGAACCCAGAGGUCAACACCUUUUCACCAAUAAGGAUCCAGCUGGGAUGAGGAGGUCCUACCUGGAGAUCUGAAGUGCUCGUUUGGCUCUGUCUUCACUUCCAAGAGGGAGGAACUCCUCUGCUAACACAAGGCGUGCUCAUUCAUCUGAGUCCACAUCACACACAUUAUAAUGUGACUGCUAAGUGGACUUGUCCAUCGGUGGGGUCUGGACCAGGAGGAUAGAAGAGCAGUGUGAGAAGAUGGACGAGCACCAAACAGCAGCUUGAGCAGCUCAUCAGAUCCCUCAAAGCCAAGAGCUGAGGAUCCCGGCAGCAGACCAGAAGUAUCUCCAAGAAGAUGUCUAACAUGUACAGGUCCAUACCAUACUCACGAGUGGGCUCAACCAGGGACCCUCACUGCUACAUGAAGGCGUACCUGCACCUGAUGGCGUUCAAAAUGUCCUGUCAGAAACUGUGUCCUGGAACAGUGUUACGGCAUCCUGGCGGCGCAAGGCCUCACCGUGCUGCAGCACUACCAGACUGAAGUAGGCAGAGGAAGAGAGCUGCUCAGGAGACUAUAAAAACACAAUUUAUGACACGCAUUAGGACCCCAGUAAAGUUACCCUCAAGUGCCCCCUGUGCGAAGUAACAUCCAACAGGUGUUUGCUUAGCACAGGCUAGUUUAUAUUGAAUUGAAGUCUAAACAUAUGACAUAUGAUGUGAAUGAAAUGUAAAUGUUCAACAUUAAAGGUAAACGUUCAACAUUAAA